UCCCUCUCUCUCGUCCCUUUCGAAACUCACCCUUUAGAGACCCCCAAAGAACCCUAGAAGCCACCACCAUUCUCCCACUGCUUUAGGGUGAGGCGCCACCUCCAAUCCCUCCCAAAUUAACACUCUAUGAGCCCCACGACCCCUUCUUCCCAAAUCCCUGGUCAGUUUCCUUUGAAUCUUUCUGGAGUUUCUCGAAUUUUAGAUCGAAGAUGAACCCUAAAAAUCCCAAGUCGAGAUUUUGUUGAAAUUUUGGGUCUAAUCUGAUUUAUUCAUGUGCUUUUUGUAAGAGCACACGAUUAAAAUUAGAUUUGGCCGAAAAAUCAAAGGAUUUGAAGACUCAGAAUCCACUAUUCAUUGUUUGAGCUUUUAGUAGGUAUUUUCUUCUUUUUCUUCGGUUUAAUCUAUUAUUAAUUCUUUUUUUCUUCCGUUUCUCUGUUUCUGCUUUUCUUCAUGGUUCCUUUUUUAUUUUUUAUUCGUUCAUGCAUGAGUAACUAUGAAUCUGUUUUUGGUCAGUAUGGUUAAUUUCAGAGAGUAAGUCAUUUAGGCUAAUUUUUAAUUGACGAAACAUUUCAGCAUGUGUUAUGUGGUGCUUAUAGUUUGUUAAUUAGAUAAGUGUUAGUUUGGGGCUAAUUGGUUUUCUGAAUUCGAUAUGAGCUUUUGGGUAAAUUCUAAUCCAUCUUGAGUCUGAACCAUUGGCUCAAAGUUUGGCCCAUGACUCGUUCUGGUUUCAGGGGUUAAUUUCAUAGGUUAUAGGGGUAAGUUGGGAAAACUGGGAAAGGGAAUCUAUGAGUAACUUAUUAGGAAGCUUCUCAGAAGCUGUGAAGGGGACCUAAAUGAAAAUUCUGUUUUACACUAAGGUUCCCCAAGCAAAAAUAAAAAUCAGAAAAGGACUAAGGUGCAAAAACUUAUACCUAAGGGAGUUCCCUAAUGCCAUGCCUAUAAAGGCACAUUAACUUUGCAUUGAAGGCAGAACAAAAUAGAGAUAAAAAUCUGAAAAUCAAAAAUGGCUAAGAAUUUAAGAGAAGACUAUUGUUGCGUUGAAUUUCCAUCUCUGAUUCUUGAGGUUUUCAACUUCUGAAGCAAUUUUUGAUUCAUUUGGAGUUUGAAAAAUGGUUUGAAUUAGAAGCCAUAGCUGAUUUUCUGUGAUUUGAAAUGGUUCUAAUAUUUUGCUAAUUUUGGAUUUAAAAAAUGCACUGAAAUUGCUAUUAUGUUGUUAAUUGCUGCUACUAGAUUGAUGUUGAUCUCACCUUCUUCUUCUAAUAUUCUGUAGUUAUUUUGGUUGCAUCCAGGUACACUUUCGAAUCAUUGCAAUGGAAAUGUAAAUAUUGAAUGAGAAGUGGUGUUUCAAUAUCCAUAUUUCUGCUCUUUUCUAAAGUCUAAUUUUAGUAGUUUUGUUGUGCUUUGAUAUUUAUCAAUUGCAGUUUUAAUUGAACUUAGUAUUAUUUCAAUGAAGGUCAUGUAGUUGUUUGUAAUUGUAAAAUUGGACUUUCAUUUUAUUUCAGUAGUUUCAAGUGUAUUCGAAUGAAUUUUUAGCUUAGUAUUAAAGGCCUAAUGACAUGAUAUACUACUGCUUGGUCACUAGUUUAUGUACUGAAACCAAUGUUAUAAUUAGCUUAGAUGUAUCUUUGUGUUGGAUGUACUUGAAGAGUAGAUAAAUUUUUCUCAAAUAAUAUCAAUUUAAGGGCUCUUAAGGUGUCAUCUUUGAGGGUUGACUGGACUACCCUGCACUUAGUAUAUCAGUAUAUGCAAAUAGGUGUAUGCAUGUUAGUUAAAAAAAUCUGAUCCAUGGAAUUGGUCUAUUAAUUGUCUUUGAUCUAAUGUUUGGAGUUGAACAAGGUUAAGUCUAUGUUAGCAAUUGUAUUCUUCUGAAAUCAUGUUGGUGAUGGGUUGGAUUCAAUGUUUUGCUUCCUUUUAUAUUUCUGAUAUUGAAUCCAUGUUAGCAAUUUCUAUUUUGAAGUCACGUUGAUAUUUGGUUAGAAGUCAUGAAUGAUGUUAUACUUUAAAUGGUGAAACAAACUGUAGGUGAGCUUUAUAACAUCAUGUAUGGCAUCUUUGUCAUAGAAUGUCAUUUGGUAUUAAAAAUACGCUUCAUAUCCGUUUAAGAUUGGCAAAAGUGGUCAGAACUUGUUCAAUCUCAAGAUUUCUCAUAAAGAACGUAAUUUGUUUCAAGUGAUGGUCAUGAAUCACGCAGAUGGGCCUUUGUCAUUAGCCAAGUUAUGUCUGAAGCCUCUUAGCUGAUCUAGUCUGGUUUUGGGCCUUACCUCGAGCCUAAUUCCCUUGUAUUGCUUGGCUAUUGUUACCUAAGUCUAGGAGCUGUUUCUUGUCCAAAUAUGGGCCAAUAUAGUGAUUGCAUAGGUUGCUCGUAGCUAUAUAUGCAGAACUUAAUUUAAAUGUGAACUCCUUAGUUUUUCUUUUAUUAAAUGUGAUCCACUUUAAUUGGUGGGGGUGGGCUAUAUUAGAUAACUUAAAUAGUUUAUUGCCAUCCAAAUGUAGUUUGAAUUC
rnacentral:lncRNA from 1 species